rnacentral:tRNA from 1 species
GUCCCUGUAGCUCAGAGGAUAGAGCAGCGGUUUCCUAAACCGCAGGUCGUUGGUUCGAAUCCAAUCGGGGAUA